rnacentral:rRNA from 1 species
CGGACGGGUGAGUAACGCGUGGGUAACCUGCCUUACACAGGGGGAUAACACUUAGAAAUAGGUGCUAAAACCGCAUAAGCGCACAGCUUCGCAUGAAGCGGUGUGAAAAACUCCGGUGGUGUAAGAUGGACCCGCGUCUGAUUAGCUUGUUGGCGGUGUAACGGCCCACCAAGGCGACGAUCAGUAGCCGGCCUGAGAGGGCGGACGGCCACAUUGGGACUGAGACACGGCCCAGACUCCUACGGAAGGCAGCAG